rnacentral:rRNA from 1 species
UACAGAGGGUGCGAACGUUGCUCGGAAUUACUGGGCGUAAAGCGCGUGUAGGCGGUCCGUUAAGUUGGUAGUGAAAUCCCAUGGCUCAACCAUGGAAGUGCUGCCAAAACUGGCGGGCUGGAGUGCCGGAGAGGGUGGCGGAAUUCCCAGUGUAGAGGUGAAAAUUCGUAGAUAUUGGGAGGAACACCGGUGGCGAAGGCGGCCACCUGGACGGUAACUGGACGCUGAGGCGCGAAAGCCAGGGAGCGAAACGGGAAUUAGACGUACCGGU